rnacentral:rRNA from 1 species
AUGGGUGAUGGCGUGCCUUUUGUAGAAUGAACCGGCGAGUUACGUUUAACAUGCAAGGUUAAGUCGAGAAGACGGAGCCGCAGCGAAAGCGAGUCUGAAUAGGGCGAUUUAGUAUGUGGACGUAGACCCGAAACCGUGUGAUCUACCCCUGUCCAGGGUGAAGGUGCGGUAACACGCACUGGAGGCCCGAACCCACGCAUGUUGAAAAAUGCGGGGAUGAGGUGGGGGUAGCGGAGAAAUUCCAAUCGAACUCGGAGAUAGCUGGUUCUCCCCGAAAUAGCUUUAGGGCUAGCCUCGGUAUAAGAGUAGUGGAGGUAGAGCACUGAUUGGUUGCGGGGCCCGCAAGGGUUACCAAGAUCAGUCAAACUCCGAAUGCCAUAUACUUAUUGCCGGGAGUCAGACAGUGAGUGCUAAGAUCCAUUGUCAAAAGGGAAACAGCCCAGACCAUCAGCUAAGGUCCCCAAGUGUGUGUUAAGUGGGAAAGGAUGUGGAGUUGCACAGACAACCAGGAUGUUGGCUUAGAAGCAGCCACCAUUGAAAGAGUGCGUAAUAGCUCACUGGUCGAGUGACUCUGCGCCGAAAAUGUAACGGGGCUAAACACACCACCGAAGCUAUGGCUAGAUACGUAUGUAUCUGGGGUAGGGGAGCGUUGUAUGUGGGUUGAAGGUGUACCGUAAGGAGCGCUGGACAGCAUACAAGUGAGAAUGCCGGUAUGAGUAACGAAAAGAUCAGUGAGAAUCUGAUCCGCCGAAAGCCCAAGGUUUCCUGAGGAAGGCUCGUCCGCUCAGGGUAAGUCGGGACCUAAGGCGAGGCCGAAAGGCGUAGUCGAAGGACAACAGUUUGAAAUUACUGUACCACCGUAAUCCGCUA